rnacentral:rRNA from 1 species
CAUCAGAACUCCGCAGUUAAGCGCGCUUGGGCUAGAGUAGUACUGGGAUGGGUGACCUCCCGGGAAGUCCUAGUGUUGCACCCU